UUCUAGGAGCAACUGGACAUGCGUCUUCAACAGCGACAAGCGAGAGAGACGGGAAUCUGCCCAGUUAGGAGAGAACUUUACUCACAGUGUUUUGAUGAAUUGAUUCGUCAAGUGACAAUUAAUUGUGCUGAACGUGGUCUUCUGUUGCUCAGAGUGCGUGAUGAGAUCAGAAUGACUAUUGCUGCCUACCAAACCCUGUAUGAAAGCAG